ACGUACACUCCUGCGGGAGGCAGCAGUGGGGAAUAUUGGACAAUGGGCGCAAGCCUGAUCCAGCCAUGCCGCGUGAGUGAUGAAGGCCCUAGGGUUGUAAAGCUCUUUCACCGGAGAAGAUAAUGACGGUAUCCGGAGAAGAAGCCCCGGCUAACUUCGUGCCAGCAGCCGCGGUAAUACGAAGGGGGCUAGCGUUGUUCGGAAUUACUGGGCGUAAAGCGCACGUAGGCGGAUCGAUCAGUCAGGGGUGAAAUCCCAGGGCUCAACCCUGGAACUGCCUUUGAUACUGUCGAUCUGGAGUAUGGAAGAGGUGAGUGGAAUUCCGAGUGUAGAGGUGAAAUUCGUAGAUAUUCGGAGGAACACCAGUGGCGAAGGCGGCUCACUGGUCCAUUACUGACGCUGAGGUGCGAAAGCGUGGGGAGCAAACAGGAUUAGAAACCCGUGUAGUCCCAUGA
rnacentral:rRNA from 1 species